CGGCCCGUAGCUCAACGGGAGAGCGGGCUCCUUAUAAGGGCCUGACGAGGGUUCAACUCCCUCCGGGCCAACCG
rnacentral:tRNA from 1 species